AGCAGCCGCGGUAAUUCCAGCUCCAAUAGCGUAUAUUAAAGUUGCUGCAGUUAAAAAGCUCGUAGUUGAAUUUCGGGACCAUCAUGUCGGUCGUGCCUCGGUACGUACUGGCAUUGUUGGUUUCUCCCUUUUGACGAACCAUGAUGUCAUUUAUUUGGUGUCGUGGGAAAUCAGGACUGUUACUUUGAAAAAAUUAGAGUGUUUAAAGCAGGCUCACGCUUGAAUACAUUAGCAUGGAAUAAUGAAAUAGGACGUUUGAUUCUAUUUUGUUGGUUUCUAGGAUCGACGUAAUGAUUAAUAGGGAUAGUUGGGGGGCAUUAGUAUUCAAUUGUCAGAGGUGAAAUUCUUGGAUUUAUUGAAGACUAACUACUGCGAAAGCAUUUGCCAAGGAUGUUUUCAUUAAUCAAGAACGAAAGUUAGGGGAUCGAAGACGAUCAGAUACCGUCGUAGUCUUAACCAUAAACUAUGCCGACUAGGGAUCGGAUGAUGUUAAUUUUUUAAUGA
rnacentral:misc_RNA from 1 species